GGACACCACAGUACAGCGUAGCGGGUAACGCCCGUCUUCAUUCGUCAUUGGUGAAUGAAAGGACCAGUGCAACAGAAAGCAAGUACAGUUUGGCUGUAGUGAAAUCAGGUAAACUCUAUGCGGUGAAACGCCAUGUAUACCAGUGUUUGAGGGUUGUACGCCCGAACUGGAGGGUAGGCGGUUAGAGGUUUUGGGCAACCAAGGCCCUAGAUAAAUGAUAAGGAAAUCCCAAAUUAAUUUU
rnacentral:lncRNA from 1 species